AGAGUUUGAUCAUGGCUCAGAUUGAACGCUGGCGGCAGGCUUAACACAUGCAAGUCGAGCGGAGAUGAGGUGCUUGCACCUUAUCUUAGCGGCGGACGGGUGAGUAAUGCUUAGGAAUCUGCCUAUUAGUGGGGGACAACAUUCCGAAAGGAAUGCUAAUACCGCAUACGUCCUACGGGAGAAAGCAGGGGAUCUUCGGACCUUGCGCUAAUAGAUGAGCCUAAGUCGGAUUAGCUAGUUGGUGGGGUAAAGGCCUACCAAGGCGACGAUCUGUAGCGGGUCUGAGAGGAUGAUCCGCCACACUGGGACUGAGACACGGCCCAGACUCCUACGGGAGGCAGCAGUGGGGAAUAUUGGACAAUGGGGGGAACCCUGAUCCAGCCAUGCCGCGUGUGUGAAGAAGGCCUUAUGGUUGUAAAGCACUUUAAGCGAGGAGGAGGCUACUGAGACUAAUACUCUUGGAUAGUGGACGUUACUCGCAGAAUAAGCACCGGCUAACUCUGUGCCAGCAGCCGCGGUAAUACAGAGGGUGCGAGCGUUAAUCGGAUUUACUGGGCGUAAAGCGUGCGUAGGCGGCUUUUUAAGUCGGAUGUGAAAUCCCCGAGCUUAACUUGGGAAUUGCAUUCGAUACUGGGAAGCUAGAGUAUGGGAGAGGAUGGUAGAAUUCCAGGUGUAGCGGUGAAAUGCGUAGAGAUCUGGAGGAAUACCGAUGGCGAAGGCAGCCAUCUGGCCUAAUACUGACGCUGAGGUACGAAAGCAUGGGGAGCAAACAGGAUUAGAUACCCUGGUAGUCCAUGCCGUAAACGAUGUCUACUAGCCGUUGGGGCCUUUGAGGCUUUAGUGGCGCAGCUAACGCGAUAAGUAGACCGCCUGGGGAGUACGGUCGCAAGACUAAACUCAAUGAAUUGACGG
rnacentral:rRNA from 1 species